AUUUUGGGGAUAACAUAUAUGCUAAUUAUUUGGAUUUAAUAAUAGGAGUAAAGCAAUACACAACUUUUUUGUCCUUUUGGAAUUUUUCAUCUUCAAAUGCCCCUAGUGGUUAAACAACUGAUUCGACAUGUUUAAGAAAUACCAGUUUCUCAACUUUGUAGGCUGACAAUUUGGCUUCUGAUGUGAAGUUACUCGUAACAAAAUAAAAUAGAUAUGUAUCAGUCAUAAACAUUAACAAUUCUCCAUUCACCCCACCCUGCUUCACCCGUAAGGUUAUUCGUUAUUCGGAAUGUGUUUCUUUAAUGAAAUUAACAUUAGUUAACGCUAUCUAAUAAAAUGUAAAUUAGUCUGUAAAAACAUGGUUUUGAAUAGAUUCAAUAUGGAAAACAAAGUUAAAUAAUAGGUGUUAAAAUAUCUAUGAAGAACUUCGCCCAACUGGCGGGAAGCGGGGAGGAGACAUUUUCACCAGUAGAAACGCUGGCAUCCUCAGCAGGAAACUGGAGUGGAUUAUAAAUCGCACUCCCUACUCAAACCCAGGCCCUUCCUCUGGACACUGAUGCUUCUCGACGCCCCUGCAACUUGCCAGUGUACCUGAGACUAUGCUAGACGGAGAUUAAAUUCGUCCUUGGCCCUUAAUGUACUGGAAACAAGUUGGUCAAGCCAGGUGUCGAGUUGAGAAGGGACCCAAGUCGUGGAGUUCCAGGUUUCAGGGCUGGUAAAGGUUUACGGAGCGCCUCAGCAAAGGCGCAGGAACAGAGUAUUGUGUAGCGUAGCUCUUCGUUAGCAAAGGUUUCUUAAGCUGACUUCCAACGGGCAGACUUUCCUUCACGCCUCUCAGCUUGGUCCCACUGCAGGAAGAGGAUGUUGGCGGACUCCAGGUGCCUGAAGCUCAAAGGCCCACUGCUCAGGGCUGGCAUCAGAACCGAGCCCAGGGUGUGCUAAGUAUGGAGGCGAGGUAAUUGUUACACUGUUGGCAGUGCAAUUACACUUGGAACCGUUUCCCAGCAGUCGUUAAGCCCUCCCUAGCUCUGGGCCUCUUCUACUCCAGGGGCUCCAAUUUCAGGGAAAGUCUCCCCUACGAACCUGGAAACACGCAGAUAAAAAGAAACGCAGCCGGACUGCAAUCCCCAGAAACCGUCGCGGGCCUUCAGCAUCCGGGACACCGUCUGCAAGGAUCCCUGGGUAGUGUGGUCCGUUCCUUCGGCAGCAACCCUCUGCUGACGGUAAAAUUCCAGCCGAACCUGGGACCACAACUCCCAGCAACCCUUGCUGCCGUGCGGGGGGUCUUCACGUUCUCGUGGCGCGGCGCAGGCGCACUGGGGCCUCGGCGCGGACCGCGCAGACUGAAUAAUAAAAGGGGAGCGGCGAAGAGGCAGGAAGACAGGACCAUGUCGAAGGGCCCAGGGCCCGGCGGCUCCGCAGCUUCCUCGGCGCCCCCGGCCGCUACCGCUCAGGUGCUGCAGGCACAGCCCGAGAAACCGCAGCACUACACCUAUGUUAGAUACUAAAGAAGGCUUCCCCACAAUCCAUAUGCAUCUGCUUUGACUGGUGGUUUCUAUCAACCUACAAAGACUGUGGCUUAUUGGUGAGGGCAGCUGGACAACUCUGAGAGCAACUUAGAGAAAUCCAUCUUGGGCACACUCUAUAAAGGAGCUCCUUCUCUGCAAAUAGCACCCCAGAUAAGUGCACAAAAGCAAGACACCCUCGUGGACCUACUUCCUCCCGCUUUCAACACCCUGAUGCCUGAAGCUGUGCUUGAUACUAAAGGAGGUUUUCCCACAUAUGCAUCUUCUAUAUUUUGAAAUUACAACUAUGGACAGUUAUGGCUAAUCAUAGUAGAUUGUCUUCCCUUCUUUUAACACCUUGGAUGAAUUUUGGGGCACACUAAUGUGUUAUGUGAAGAUGGAUGUUGAAUAUACUCUAUAGAUUCACCCCAGCCAGCCAUCUUAAAAUACCUGCAUGGGCAACAGAGAGAUCUACGGAGAAAGUUUGGGUAAAAUCAUUGCAUAUGAAAAUAGUGUGUAGAAUUUGACAGCAGUAUCAAGAGCUGAUGAGGAGGAGAAGAUGGAAAGGAGUCUAGCAACUUAAAAAUCUCAUAGCGUUCUCUGUGAGGUGACCUUUUUCCUGUUGGUGGCUCAAUUUAUUUAGGAGACAAA